AUUGAACGCUGGCGGGAUGCUUUACACAUGCAAGUCGAACGGCAGCGCGGACUUCGGUCUGGCGGCGAGUGGCGAACGGGUGAGUAAUGUAUCGGAACGUGCCCAGUAGCGGGGGAUAACUACGCUAAAGCGUAGCUAAUACCGCAUACGCCCUACGUGGGAAAGCAGGGGAUCGUAAGACAUUGCACUAUUGGAGCGGCCGAUAUGGGAUUAGCUGGUUGGUGGGGUAACGGCUGACCAAGGCGACGAUCCGUAGCUGGUUGAGAGGACGAACAGCCACACUGGGACUGAGACACGGUCCAGACUCCUACGGGAGGCAGCAGUGGGGAAUUUUGGACAAUGGGGGAAAGCCUGAUCCAGCCAUCCGGCGUGUGCGAUGAAGGCCUUCGGGUUGUAAAGCACUUUUGGGAGGAAAGAAACGUAGCGGGCUAAUACCCCGUGGAAAUGACGGUACCUGAAGAAUAAGCACCGGCUAACUACGUG
rnacentral:rRNA from 1 species